rnacentral:misc_RNA from 1 species
AGCAGCCGCGGUAAUUCCAGCUCCAAUAGCGUAUAUUAAAGUUGCUGCAGUUAAAAAGCUCGUAGUUGAAUUUCGGGAUCAAUAUGUUGGUCGUGCCUCGGUACGUACUAGCUUAUUGGUUUCUCCCUUCUGACGAACCAUGAUGUCAUUUAUUUGGUGUUAUGGGAAAUCAGGACUGUUACUUUGAAAAAUUAGAGUGUUUAAAGCAGGCUCACGCUUGAAUACAUUAGCAUGGAAUAAUGAAAUAGGACGUUUGAUUCUAUUUUGUUGGUUUCUAGGAUCGACGUAAUGGUUAAUAGGGAUAGUUGGGGGCAUUAGUAUUCAAUUGUCAGAGGUGAAAUUCUUGGAUUUAUUGAAGACUAACUACUGCGAAAGCAUUUGCCAAGGAUGUUUUCAUUAAUCAAGAACGAAAGUUAGGGGAUCGAAGACGAUCAGAUACCGUCGUAGUCUUAACCAUAAACUAUGCCGACUAGGGAUCGGAUGACGUUAAUUUUUAAUGACUCAUUCGGCGCCUUAACC